UACGGGGGGAGCAAGCGUUGUUCGGAUUUACUGGGCGUAAAGGGCGCGUAGGCGGCCACCGCAAGUCGGUUGUGAAAUCUCCGGGCUUAACCCGGAAAGGUCAAUCGAUACUGCGGGGCUAGAGUGCAGAAGGGGCAACUGGAAUUCUCGGUGUAGCGGUGAAAUGCGUAGAUAUCGAGAGGAACACCAGUGGCGAAGGCGCUGACCUGGACGAUGAUUGACGCUGAGGCGCGAAAGCGUGGGGAGCAAACAGG
rnacentral:rRNA from 1 species